GUCCACGCUGUAAACGAUGAAUGCUAGACGUUGGCGGGUUAGACCUGUCAGUGUCGGAGCUAACGCGAGAAGCAUUCCGCCUGGGGAGUACGGUCGCAAGAUUAAAAACUCAAAAGGAAUUGACGGGGGCCCGCACAAGCGGUGGAGCAUGUGGUUUAAAUUCGAAGCAACGCGCAGAAACCUUACCAAACCCUUGACAUGGGACGUAUGGGUUUCAGAGAUGGAACUCUUCAGUUUGGCUGGCGUCCACACAGGUGCUGCAUGGCUGUCGU
rnacentral:rRNA from 1 species